rnacentral:tRNA from 1 species
CCUUCGAUAGCUCAGUUGGUAGAGCGGUGGACUGUAGAGGCUGAUAAGAAAUAAACUGUAGUAAUCCAUAGGUCGCUGGUUCAAAUCCGGCUCGAAGGA